rnacentral:rRNA from 3 species
UACGUAGGCAGCGAGCGUUGUUCGGAGUUACUGGGCGUAAAGGGUGUGUAGGCGGUUCUUUAAGUUUGGUGUGAAAUCUCCCGGCUCAACCGGGAGGGUGCGCCGAAUACUGAGGGACUAGAGUACGGGAGAGGAAAGUGGAAUUCCUGGUGUAGCGGUGAAAUGCGUAGAUAUCAGGAGGAACACCGGUGGUGUAGACGGCUUUCUGGACCGUAACUGACGCUGAGACACGAAAGCGUGGGUAGCAAACAGG